CCAAAUCCGCCGUGCAAUGGGAAGACGUGAUGUGGAGUGAAAUAUAGUAACGAAGCCCGUGAGCCAUGCGUCAAGAAAAGCCGCUAUUGUUUAUACUGUACCCGUACCGUAAACCGACACAGGUGGAUGAGGAGAGAAUCCUAAGGCCGGCGGAAGAAGUAUUGCCAAGGAACUCGGCAAAAUGGCCCCGUAACUUAGGGAGAAGGGGUGCCUGCGAGAGCAGGCCGCAGAGAAUAGGCUCAAGCAACUGUUUAGCAAAAACACAGGUCUAUGCGAAACCGAAAGGUGAGGUAUAUGGGCUGACGCCUGCCCGGUGCUGGAAGGUUAAGAGGAGAGGUUAGACGCAAGUCGAAGCUUUGAAUUUAAGCCCCAGUAAACGGCGGCCGUAACUAUAACGGUCCUAAGGUAGCGAAAUUCCUUGUCGGGUAAGUUCCGACCCGCACGAAAGGCGUAAUGAUUUGAGCGCUGUCUCGGCAAUACAUCCGGUGAAAUUGAAGUGCCAGUGAAGAUGCUGGCUACCCGCGCCAGGACGGAAAGACCCCAUGGAGCUUUACUCCAGUUUGGCACUGGGGUCCGGUGUUGCAUGUACAGGAUAGGUGGGAGGCUGAGAGAUAGUGACGUCAGUUGCUAUGGAGCCGCUGUUGGGAUACCACCCUUGUGAUAUUGGGCUCCUAACCAGCCGCCGUGAACCGGCGGUGGGACAAUGCCAGGCGGGGAGUUUGACUGGGGCGGUCGCCUCCGAAAGGGUAUCGGAGGCGCCCAAAGGUUCCCUCAGAAUGGACGGAAACCAUUCGAAGAGUGCAAAGGCAGAAGGGAGCUUGACUGCGACACCGACGGGUGGAGCAGGUACGAAAGUAGGGCUUAGUGAUCCGGUGGUAUUAAGUGGGAAUGCCAUCGCUCAACGGAUAAAAGCUACCCUGGGAUAACAGGCUUAUCACUCCCAAGAGUUCACAUCGACGGAGUGGUUUGGCACCUCGAUGUCGGCUCAUCGCAUCCUGGGGCUGUAGUAGGUCCCAAGGGUUGGGCUGUUCGCCCAUUAAAGCGGUACGCGAGCUGGGUUCAGAACGUCGUGAGACAGUUCGGUCCCUAUCCGGCGUGGGCGCAGGAUAUCUGAGAGGAGCUGUCCUUAGUACGAGAGGACCGGGAUGGACGGACCGCUGGUGGACCGGUUGGCUUGCCAAAGCCAUGGCCGGGUAGCCAAGUCCGGAAGGGAUAAACGCUGAAGGCAUCUAAGCGUGAAGCCCCCCUCAAGAUGAGAUAUCCCAUUCUUUAAGAAGUAAACCCCCUUGAAGACGACGAGGUAGAUAGGGCAGAGGUGGAAGUGUGGUAACACAUGGAGCUGACUGUUACUAAUCGGGUGAGGGCUUGACC
rnacentral:rRNA from 1 species